ensembl:snRNA U1 U1 spliceosomal RNA
AUACUUAGCUGGCAGGGGAGAUACCAUGAUUACGAAGGUGGUUUUCCCAGGGCGACGCUUAUGCUUUGCACUCCGUGUGUGGUGACCCCUGCGAUUUCCGCAAAUGUGGGAAACUCGACUGCAUAAUUUGUGGUAGUGGGGGACUGCAUUCGUGCUCUCCCCCU